UUGACGUCACCCGAUUGACAAGCGGGAAACACUUCAAAGUCUCGGUCUGAACACUGGUGCCACUUUGACCGGGUGGAUCGUGUCAAUAUUUUAUUGAAUUUUACUGCGAGACGAUAUCAUCUCUGCAUUUUGUGUUCGUGACAGGCCUUGUAAGUACAUAAUAAUUAUCUAAUGAGGUUUGUUUGUGUCGGCUACAUUAAUGUCCUAAAGGAUUAUGGCACUUUUAGGUUCAGCUAGGACAACACGCGCACACACACAGGUAUAGGGAAGAGGAAGGAUAGGGGCGGAGAGGGAUGGCCCGGACAGGUAUAGGAGACAGGGAUGAACAGGCUCAUCUAUCUAUUUUGCGGGGCGCACAUAAGAGAUUGUAGAGAGGAAGAAAGGAGUGGGGCGGGUGGGAGGAAGGUUUAAAUGCCUUGGGAAUCACCCUCUUGCGCCUCGCCACUGAGGGCAGGAACAUCACACUUCAAUGGGUGUCGUCACACUUCGGCAUUCGUACCAACGACAUUGCAGUCGCUGGUGCCAAGGUGGCCCUCACCGAUGUAAACAUUAUCCCCUCCCCACCCUCUCCCGCUCUCACCCGCUAAACUCAUCACAUUCUGAACCUGCCUCUCUGGCAGGAACAGACUCCUCAGCAAUGCCUUCUGCAUCACAUCCAUGGGCCAAUACCGCAGUGAUUCCUCCCCACACUCUUGGACAGAGAAAAAAAGUCCCGCGACUUGGAUGUUGCCCUCACCCCCUCCCCCCCUCGUCGCAUCGGUCUCAGCUCAACACUCACCCACACCGCUUCAACCUGUCCCCCGCCCCCACACUGCCCCUGGUGCCUCUUCGCCCCCGAGACCAUAGUACAUUCCCUGCCGCAGUGCCCGCCCCUCCACUCCCGCCGGGCCAUCCUAUCACAACUCCAAGCUCUAGGCGCGCACCACCUUUGACUUGUCCACCUACUGGCGGCAGCGGGCGUUGUCCGCUCCAAACGACCUCCGUCAUUCGCCUUACCUGUGCCUUCCUGAAGAAGACAGGAACUACCGCGUGUGUGAUAUCCCCAUGGGUGUCCGCCAGGGGUCAUUUCAUCCCCAUAGCAUCAUCGCAGACCCACCAAGACCAAGACCAAGCUGAUCCACGUGUCUUCAUCUGUCUGCCUCUCCACCUGUCCACCUGAGGAAUAGGAGCAGCCUCACCACCACCACCACCACCAUCACCAGUGACAGCUCCCUCACCAGGCAACCUGCAGCAAUGAACAACCCUGCUGAGUGUCGCAUCUGCUUCACCACCUUCAGUAAAGACGAGAACCACAGACCAAGGACCUUCCCCUGUGGUCACACAUUCUGUUCCUCCUGCAUUACUGGCCUACUGCGACAGGGCACCAUAGGACGCCUUACCUGCCCCACGUGUCGCGCCAAGCAUGUCGCGCCUAAUGCUGCACAAUUCCCCAUCAGCUAUGACAUGGAGGCUCUGAUUCAGCAGAUGAAAGGCCUUGCGGAGCAGCAGCAGGGCCCAGAGACCACAGAGAACCAGGAGGAGGAGACUGGUGAACCUCAGGAGACAGAGGUUGAGGCGAUGAGGGAGUGGGUGGUUAACGUGUUGUUCGAGUGCAGCACUGUGAUGACGCAGCUUGAACAGAGGCAGGACAAGUUAGAGAGACCACAGGCAAAGCACAUGUCUUUGCUGAACCAACUGUGUGAGAUGGUGGUGGACAACAAGAAGGCCAUGACACAGCUGACAAGGGCGCAGGGCAAGUAUCGAGGCCUGCUGGACGAGGGGCAGGGCAUUGCAUCUCACCUGCAGGCCAUGGUGGAUCAACUGGAGAACAGUGCGUCGGCGAGGGGAAGCAGAGCCAUAGUGAAUCUUGCAAACUCCCGGAUGCAGGUGGUGGAGAUGUGGAUGAAGAAGUGCAAGGAGAUGACUGCAAGUGAUACAACAGCUGCCUCUUCAGACGUGGUGCUGACGACCACACACGACAGACUCAAGCAAAUGGCAGAGAAUUUUGGCAAUGGUGAGGGCGGUGCUUGUAGUGGUGGUGAUGCAGGUGGUGGUGUGUCCUCCAGUCAGGUGACAUCUGUCUUGGAAAGGGCGCAACAUUCCCUGGAAGAGCUGCCCAGCCGUCCAUCCACUCUGACAACAGAGGACCUUCGCACCCUGAACGCUGACGUGAGGCGCCUGCUGGAGGGUCGUGUGGUGUUUGGGCUUCUCCAGGAUUCAGGGGCACCGCGCUGCUCCUCCCUCACACUGGAGAAUGGACGGCUGCACCUCUACCACCUGCAGGACCAACCGCCACCCUGCCACGCCCACACCAUCCAGAUGGCCAGCUACCUGUCCGCCCCACAUCCAUCCCUGCUGGUGUUCCUGGACCUGGCGUGGCGCGGCGAGGUGCAUGGUCGAGUUUACAUCCGUCUGAACUUGCUGGUGCCCCUGGCCAGACAGUUCCUGCUGCUGUGCUCUGGCCAGCAGGGACCCUCCUACGCUGGUACCUCCCUGCUGAAGAAGCCAAGCCGUUCAUGUGGGCACCGCGUGAGACCGUGAGAGCGACCAAGAGUGGACAGACAGACAGAGAGAGAGAGAGAGAGAGAGAGAGAGAGACGAGGAGAAUGAGGUGCUACUGGUGGACACAUAACAGCCUGGCGAGCAUAGGCGGCCGGGGCGGGGAGAGAGACCGCCUGGGAGCAGCUGGCGUGAAGGUGGCACAGGGCGUAGGUGACUGUCUGCAGCUCGUCAAGACCCAGGUGAUUAUCGUCAUACACCACUCGGUACUCAGUGGGUCUGGUGGUGCCACUGUCACUCUGCAGGGAAGGUGGCACCACUACCAGAUGAGAGGAGAGGAAGAAGCCCCUGAUGGAUGGAUGGAUGAUGUCGCCUUCUACCACAGUGCCAGGGGGAAUAUUACCUCCACCUCCGCCAGGCCCUCGGAACAGCCUGCAAUGCCACACAGGUCAGGUAAUGGGCGGCUGGUACUCCCCGUCAACCUGCAUGCCACUACAGGCCCUCCGGAUCUCUGUGGCCUCCCAUGCUGUGACGCGCUCCAGCUCCUCCUGCGGCAAGUCGAGGCGGUAGACUAGCAAACUCUGGGGCUUGGUGUGGUUUGUCUCAUAGUACCUCAGAAGCAACCGUCUGGAAUGGGGUAAGGAAGGUAAAGGUUAAGUGUGGGUCUGGUAGUUGGGGAUGCUGGGUCUGGUAGAUGGGGAUGCUGAAGAGGAGAGGAGAGGUGAAGUUACUGGAAAAUGAGAGGGUUGGGAGAGAAAGGGUUGAAAGAGAUGGUGAUGGUCUGGAAUAGGAAGUGUUUGGUGAGGGUACUGGGAAAAGAAUGUGUGUGUUUGGUGAGGGUACUGGGAAAGGAAUGCGUGUGUUUGUUGAGUGUACUGGGAAAAAAGAAUAGGUGCGUGUUUGUUGAGUGUACUGGGAAAGGAGAAAAAUAUCAAGUUUCCAUGCUGAGACUAAAUAAACCUGAAUGUAACAUGUUUAAACAGUGAAAAAAGAACUAAAUAAAACAGCUACCCAUACAAA